rnacentral:lncRNA from 1 species
UCAAUAUCAAUAGAUAACCUCAAUCUUUUUCAUUUAGUCAGAGAAAUAAUAAUAAUCAAAAGAAUCCAAACUUCAAAUUUUAUUAUACCCUGGAGAUAAUUAUUUGAGUAUAAUAAUCUAAGAUCGAAAUCAUUAUUCGAUAAACAAUCUCAAAUUCUUCCUAAUAAAUAAAGAAUUAUAAAAUUUAAUUCUAGGAUAGAGAAAAUUUAUCUCUAAAUAUUCUAAAUCUAAAAUCAAAAAUCAAAGGUCCACUCAUCCUAGAAUCAGGAUGCUAAAUAUUUUUGUAGCAUAGU